rnacentral:lncRNA from 1 species
AAAGAUCCCAUCAACUUGCUGAAACGGAUGAAUUUGAAUGCCCCACAUUAUGGCAUAAUUCAUGAGGAGGCGCUGAAAUCCAACGGUUGCCAGAAAAAAACAACUGUCCACGAACAGGCACGGAGAAGGGACCGAAUCAGCAGGGGAAAGAAGUCCCAGCACCCAAAGGCCAUGCCGCACGAGCAUAACUCGACGGCGGCGACAGUAACGUCAAAGACGGUAACGACGAGGAGUGUGACCAACAGGCCUCCGUAAACGACGGUAACGCCUCAGAGUGCCAAACUCUCUCAGAGUCAGAUUAUGAUUCAGGAACCCAGACCACGCAAACAGCAUCAAGCCGCCGCGAAUGGUAAUACUCAACUCAGAACUUCAAUCUAGGAGUUGAUUCACAUGAUUUAUUUUGGCCUUCUUGUCGGAUCAUCCAUCC